CCAGCACCCCGAGUGGUCGGGACGAUUAUUGGGCCUAAAGCAUCCGUAGCCGGUCUUGCAAGUCUUCCGUUAAAUCCAGCUGCUUAACAGAUGGGCCGCGGAGGAUACUACAAGGCUAGGAGGCGGGAGAGGCAAGCGGUACUCAGUGGGUAGGGGUAAAAUCCUCUGAUUCAUUGAAGACCACCAGUGGCGAAGGCGGCUUGCCAGAACGCGCUCGACGGUGAGGGAUGAAAGCUGGGGGAGCAAACCGGAUUAGAUACCCGGGUAGUCCCAGCUGUAAACGAUGCAGACUCGGUGAUGGGCCGGCUUUAUGCCAGCUCAGUGCCGCAGGGAAGCCGUUAAGUCUGCCGCCUGGGGAGUACGGUCGCAAGACUG
rnacentral:rRNA from 1 species